AAAAGAAAAAAACUAAACCUAAGUUUUCCUUUCCGGAUUCUCUUCUUAUUUUUUCUUCUUCUUCUUCUUCCUUCUUCUCCUCUAUUCCUCUGCUCUUCUGUGAUGUUCAAUGUGGGUGGUGUGAGUGAGAAUUAAUCGGGGAAAAUAAAUUGGUGAUACUGAUAGAUGAUGCAGAAGAUGGUGUGGUCGUUAAGUAUGAAGCAGAACAAUUAGGGUUCGAAUCCGAGAAGAUCAAAAAGGGUUUACCGAUUUGAUUAAUGUUCUGAAGAUCUAAAAGAUGAUAUAUAAAGCUACUGCUAGAUGAGGAAACAUGGGUAGACGUUCAAUUGAAGUUUUGAAGUUGAUCCAGUGGUGAAUUGAAGAAUUGAUUAAAGGAUUAGAAGAUGAAAUUGGGAGUCUAAAGGAAAGAUUAGAGAUGGGUACACCAAUUAAAAUUCUUAAACAGUUAAAGCUUCAACCAAAUUGAAGUCUUAUGAUUACGGAAAACUAAAUUGAAAACAGUUGUUUGUUCCAAUGCAUGGCCUAUUUCACUUGACAUAGAAAUGCAUCUCUUAUGCGGGGAAACCAGAUUGUUUCUCUACCACCUAGACAUUUCUCAAUGCUAUCCAAACAGUUUCAUUUAAUUCAGAAGCUUGAGAGGUGGAUAGCUGCCCUGAUAUGCAAAUUGCGAGAACUACAUGGUCGGUGUAGCUUGGGAGGUGGUCGAUGUAAAGGAAGGAAGCAAUGUCGUCAUCUUCACCUUAAAACUGCCGGAGUUACGGUAAAUAUUAAACCUCGAAUGCAGCUUAUACCAUGUUUGGACUUCAUAUAUAUGGUUUUAACUACAAACUAAAAACCAAAUUGCAGGACAACAAAUUUGGGUGAAUCAAAUUUUUGAGGGAAACAAGAAAUAGUUCCCAUGAUACAUAUAUCCUAUAACAGUUGAAAAUGAUAAGGCUGCUUAUGUAGCAAGUUUAUUUGUUGUGUAUUAGGAAAACUAUUGAGUAUUUAACACACAUCUUCAUUAUGAUGCAAUGUCCAUUUGCAUUGGCUAUGUGUAGAGGUUUCAACUUAGACUACACUUUGCGGUACCAGAAUGACUUUGUAAUACAUGAACAUAAUAUGUGCGAACUCAUAGUGUAGCUAUAAUUUGCUGGAAAAUAAAGGUUCCAUGUUUGAUUUGGUGCGGGUUGGGCGAGUAGUGGUUGCAUAAGGAAUUUCAUUUUUUAUUUUCUACAA